rnacentral:tRNA from 2 species
GGCGGAUGUACCAAAGUGGAUCAAGGCAGUGGAG